GAAUUCAACUCCUACGGGAGGCAGCAGUGGGGAAUCUUGCGCAAUGGGCGAAAGCCUGACGCAGCGACGCCGCGUGGGGGAGGAAGCUUUUCGGAGUGUAAACCUCUGUCAGGGGGGAAGAAUGGGCGGGGGAGGAAAUGCCCUCGUUUUGACGGUACCUCCAAAGGAAGCACCGGCUAACUCUGUGCCAGCAGCCGCGGUAAUACAGAGGGUGCAAGCGUUGUUCGGAAUUACUGGGCGUAAAGCGCGCGCAGGCGGCCCUUUAAGUCUACCCGUGAAAUGCCGGAGCUCAACUCCGUGCACGCCGGGGGAUACUGGGGGGCUGGAGACACGUAGAGGCAAGCGGAAUUCCGGGUGUAGCGGUGGAAUGCGUAGAGAUCCGGAAGAACACCUGAGGCGAAGGCGGCUUGCUGGGCAUGAUCUGACGCUGAGGCGCGAAAGCGUGGGGAGCAAACAGGAUUAGAAACCCUAGUAGUCCAGGCGUU
rnacentral:rRNA from 1 species